rnacentral:rRNA from 1 species
UGCAGUCGAACGGUAAGGCCCCUUCGGGGGUACACGAGUGGCGAACGGGUGAGUAACACGUGGGUAAUCUGCCCUGCACUUCGGGAUAAGCCUGGGAAACUGGGUCUAAUACCGGAUAUGAACUCCUUCCGCAUGGUGGGGGUUGGAAAGUUUUUCGGUGCAGGAUGAGCCCGCGGCCUAUCAGCUUGUUGGUGGGGUAAUGGCCUACCAAGGCGACGACGGGUAGCCGGCCUGAGAGGGUGAUCGGCCACACUGGGACUGAGACACGGCCCAGACUCCUACGGGAGGCAGCAGUGGGGAAUAUUGCACAAUGGGCGGAAGCCUGAUGCAGCGACGCCGCGUGGGGGAUGACGGUCUUCGGAUUGUAAACCCCUUUCAGUAGGGACGAAGCGCAAGUGACGGUACCUGCAGAAGAAGCACCGGCUAACUACGUGCCAGCAGCCGCGGUAAUACGUAGGGUGCGAGCGUUGUCCGGAAUUACUGGGCGUAAAGAGCUCGUAGGCGGUUUGUCACGUCGUCUGUGAAAUCCCUCGGCUUAACCGGGGGCGUGCAGGCGAUACGGGCAGACUUGAGUACUACAGGGGAGACUGGAAUUCCUGGUGUAGCGGUGAAAUGCGCAGAUAUCAGGAGGAACACCGGUGGCGAAGGCGGGUCUCUGGGUAGUAACUGACGCUGAGGAGCGAAAGCAUGGGUAGCGAACAGGAUUAGAUACCCUGGUAGUCCAUGCCGUA